CAUCCUCAUAAUAAUUUGGGGGAAGGGUUGCUUUGUCUUUGAGAGCAUCAACCUCAAAAAUUCAGUAAUCAACUUUAGUAAGAUGAUCUAACACUGAAAAGCACAUGACUUCAAGUCCAGAACAACAUAUUAGCAAUAAAACAUAGGAACCAUG